rnacentral:rRNA from 1 species
AGAGUUUGAUCCUGGCUCAGGACGAACGCUGGCGGCGUGCUUAGCACAUGCAAGUCGAACGGUAAGGCCCUUCGGGGUACACGAGUGGCGAACGGGUGAGUAACACGUGGGUAAUCUGCCCUGCACAUCGGGAUAAGCCUGGGAAACUGGGUCUAAUACCGAAUAGGACCACAGAACACAUGUCCUGUGGUGGAAAGCUUUUGCGGUGUGGGAUGGGCCCGCGGCCUAUCAGCUUGUUGGUGGGGUGAUGGCCCACCAAGGCGACGACGGGUAGCCGGCCUGAGAGGGUGUCCGGCCACACUGGGACUGAGAUACGGCCCAGACUCCUACGGGAGGCAGCAGUGGGGAAUAUUGCACAAUGGGCGAAAGCCUGAUGCAGCGACGCCGCGUGGGGGAUGACGGCCUUCGGGUUGUAAACCUCUUUCACCAUCGACGAAGGUUCGGGUUUUCUCGGAUUGACGGUAGGUGGAGAAGAAGCACCGGCCAACUACGUGCCAGCAGCCGCGGUAAUACGUAGGGUGCGAGCGUUGUCCGGAAUUACUGGGCGUAAAGAGCUCGUAGGUGGUUUGUCGCGUUGUUCGUGAAAUCUCACGGCUUAACUGUGAGCGUGCGGGCGAUACGGGCAGACUUGAGUACUGCAGGGGAGACUGGAAUUCCUGGUGUAGCGGUGGAAUGCGCAGAUAUCAGGAGGAACACCGGUGGCGAAGGCGGGUCUCUGGGCAGUAACUGACGCUGAGGAGCGAAAGCGUGGGGAGCGAACAGGAUUAGAUACCCUGGUAGUCCAA